AUGAAUGAUGGAUCGCCCAGGGGCUCGAUUUAUGGAGUCGGUCGGUGGCUAGCAAGGAGCUACACGUGGUCAGCCUCACCGUUGGAUCAGGACGCCAGGUGCUUUGCGGUACCAGAAUAUGUCGCGGGUGAAUGCCACGGUUGUGUUCACGCAAGAAAAAGGCUUUGUAGUUUGUACCAUUCGCCUGAUGAAACCAAAGGUAGGUUGUUUGUUCGUGGAAUGUUGCUGCUGUACGCCAUGGAUCACAAACGUGACAAGACACAUAAGAUGAUAAGGACCAGUUGUUGUGCAAAAGCACAAAGCUAG
rnacentral:rRNA from 1 species